rnacentral:antisense_RNA from 1 species
AGCGAAGCCCCAUUUCCGUAGGAGCGAAGUAGAAUGGCGCCCCCAGCGGCUUGGGGUGGGAUCUCAGUGCCUCAUUCCUAGGGGCCCCGGGAGGGCGAUGCCAAGUUUCGCUCUUGUUCCCUGGGCUGGAGUGCAGUGGCACCAUCUCGGCUCACCACAACCUCCGCCUCCCGGGUUCAAGCGAUUCUCCUGCCUCAGCCUCCCCAGUAUCUGGGAUUACAGUAAAAUUAAAACAGGCACAAUGAUAUCCUGGAUGACAAGAGCUGGAGGCUGUCAUUCUAACAAUGUAGUGGGACUGGCUGUCUUGUCUCAUGCCCAACCCUGGAAACAUGCGCAGGAACUCAAGCACCUAGCACAGAGGAAGUGUCUGGUUGUUUUAAAGGAAACACAAAACCAAAAAAAGCACCUCCUGCUCUGACCACCCCUAUUUCCAGUUUUCCCUUUUGGCACAGCAAAGAUGACCUUGGGACUGAGGUGGAACCAUGUAAUUCUUCAUAAUCCCAGAGUCAGGCAGACCUGGGAGAUAACACCCAUCUCGAAGGAAGAU